rnacentral:rRNA from 1 species
UGGGCGCAAGCCUGACCGAGCGACGCCGCGUGUGCGAUGAAGGCCUUCGGGUUGUAAAGCACUGUCGAGGGGGAGGAACGCCCGCAAGGGUCUGACCUAUCCCUGGAGGAAGCACGGGCUAAGUUCGUGCCAGCAGCCGCGGUAAGACGAACCGUGCAAACGUUGUUCGGAUUCACUGGGCUUAAAGGGCGCGUAGGCGGGCGGUCAAGUCGGGGGUGAAAUCUUUCAGCUUAACUGGAAAAGUGCCUCCGAUACUGAUUGUCUUGAGGGAGGUAGGGGCAUGUGGAACUUCCGGUGGAGCGGUGAAAUGCGUAGAUAUCGGAAGGAACGCCGGUGGCGAAAGCGACGUGCUGGACCUCUUCUGACGCUGAGGCGCGAAAGCCAGGGGAGCGAACGGGAUUAGAUACCCCGGUAGUCCUGGCCCUAAACGAUGGGUACUAGAUUGUGGACUUAACAUGGGUUCACAGUCGAAGCCAAAGUGUUAAGUACCCCGCCUGGGGAGUA